rnacentral:piRNA from 1 species
UGGAUGGUCAUUUCACGUCUCUGAGCAUGC